rnacentral:rRNA from 1 species
ACGAACGCUGGCGGCGUGCUUAACACAUGCAAGUCGAACGGUGAAGCGAGUGCUUGCACUCGUGGAUCAGUGGCGAACGGGUGAGUAACACGUGAGUAACCUGCCCAUCACUCUGGGGUAAGCACUGGAAACGGUGUCUAAUACUGGAUACGACCAACCCUUGCAUGGGGUGUUGGUGGAAAGAUUUAUCGGUGAUGGAUGGACUCGCGGCCUAUCAGCUUGUUGGCGGGGUAAUGGCCCACCAAGGCGACGACGGGUAGCCGGCCUGAGAGGGUGACCGGCCACACUGGGACUGAGACACGGCCCAGACUCCUACGGGAGGCAGCAGUGGGGAAUAUUGCACAAUGGGCGAAAGCCUGAUGCAGCGACGCCGCGUGAGGGAUGACGGCCUUCGGGUUGUAAACCUCUUUCAGCAGGGAAGAAGCGAAAGUGACGGUACCUGCAGAAGAAGCACCGGCUAACUACGUG